UUAAAGACCAACUGAAGAGGUUUUUUUCGAAAUUGAGAUAGCGAUUGAUUUAGAUAGUAGAUAGCAUCAAAGUUAGUUCCUAAAAAUUUGAGAUUUUAGAAAAGCGUAUUUAUAUUAGAAAAAGUAAUUUGAAAGUGUAAAAAAUAACGAGAUUUGAAAAUCAGCUUCAAUGGCCGAAACCGGAAGUGACGUAUUGUAAUGGACUGAGAAAAUAAAACAUAUAUGACAUGUGGCAUACAGACAAGUUUACUAGAUGGAUCUUUCAUCAUUUUGGAAAUACAAUAUUCCCUGUGAAACAAAUCACAGAAACAUUCUACAAUUUUAUUUUAUAUAAUAAAUACCAAUAAAUGUAAAUACAAAAUCACA